CAUGUACUCACUCCAUCCAACAAAGGAUGUCUCAAUUUUGACCAAAUUUGAAUGCAUUUAUACACUAAAUCAUGUCUAGAUACAUCUAAAUUUUGACAAACUUGAGACAUCUUUUGUUGGGCGGAGGCUGAGUUGAUG
rfam:Brachypodium distachyon strain Bd21 chromosome 1, whole genome shotgun sequence.